CGGCGCGUCGCUGAAUGCAUAGCAGUGGCCUUUAAAGCUAUUGGUUGAGCGUUCGAGACCGCUCCGCGCUCA
rnacentral:tRNA from 1 species